GUGGGGAAUCUUCCGCAAUGGACGAAAGUCUGACGGAGCAACGCCGCGUGAGUGAAGAAGGUUUUCGGAUCGUAAAGCUCUUUCGUUAGGGACGAACGUGCUCUUUGUGAAUAAUGAGGAGUAAUGACGGUACCUAAAUAAGAAGCCACGGCUAACUACGUGCCAGCAGCCGCGGUAAUACGUAGGUGGCAAGCGUUGUCCGGAAUUAUUGGGCGUAAAGCGCGCGCAGGCGGGAUAUCAAGUCUGUCUUAAAAGUGCGAGGCUCAACCUCGUGAGGGGACAGAAACUGGUAUUCUUGAGUGUCGGAGAGGAAAGUGGAAUUCCAAGUGUAGCGGUGAAAUGCGUAGAGAUUUGGAAGAACACCAGUGGCGAAGGCGGCUUUCUGGACGGUGUCUGACACUGAGGCGCGAAAGCCAGGGGAGCGAACGGGAUUAGAAACCCGGGUAGUCC
rnacentral:rRNA from 1 species